rnacentral:rRNA from 1 species
UGGCGGCGUGCCUAAUACAUGCAAGCGAGCGCAGGAACAAGUUGAUCCCUUCGGGGUGACGCUUGUGGAAUGAGCGGCGGACGGGUGAGUAACACGUGGGCAACUACCUUGUAGGCUGGGAUAACUCCGGGAAACCGGAGCUAAUACGGGAUGAUCAUUUUCAAUCGCAUGAUUGAAAUGUAAAAGUGGGGAGGUAAUCCUCACACUACGAGAUGGGCCCGCGGCGCAUUAGCUAGUUGGUAAGGUAAUGGCUUACCAAGGCAACGAUGCGUAGCCGACCUGAGAGGGUGAUCGGCCACACUGGAACUGAGACACGGUCCAGACUCCCUACGGGAGGCAGCAGUAGGGAAUCAUCCGCAAUGGGCGAAAGCCUGACGGUGCAACGCCGCGUGAACGAUGAAGGUUUUCGGAUCGUAAAGUUCUGUUAUGAGGGAAGAACAAGUGCCGUUCGAAUAGGGCGGCACCUUGACGGUACCUCACGAGAAAGCCCCGGCUAACUACGUG